AUCAGUCUACGCAAAUGUGUUUGGGUGCAAUGUACCUGGCAAUUUCAUGGGGCAGUCGGGAGGACAGUGUGGCUGAAGCACAGUGAGUGAGAGGAAAACAGCAAUGAAGUGAAUGCAACUGAUGCCUCCUCAAAAGUUUGCUACCUGCCAAGACUUUCAAGCAUGAAAAUAUCUUUAUUUUUCCCUUUUAAAAUUGAUGGGUAGGCCAUAUGGGAGAGAGGGAAAUACUGACAAAGAGGGCACCUCAAGAAAAGCAUGCCUAUAAAAAUAAUGUGACAAACAAUGAAACAACACACAAACAGUUUGACAGAUAAGAGAGCAAAGGAUCACCACACGCCCGUGAUUCUAGAGCAAGUGGUGACUUUAGUGUGUGGCUGUGCUCAUGCAUAUGGACCUUACACAACUGCAAUCAGCAUCUGCAUACCUACACCCAGUAACCUGCUUUCUCUACCUAAUAUGAUAUAAUGAGCAUUUUUCUAUAUUGCUACAUAGUCUUUAUAAUUACUUUAAAUGACUGUAUAAUAUUCCAUUCAUUAUAUCACUGCUGAAUAUUUAGGUUGCUUGUAGUUUUUCCUUUGCUCAUUUUUAUGAAUUAACAAAUGUAAAGUAUUUCACCCACUACCUUCAAAUUAUAUAUACUUGGUCGGCACUUUAUUUCCUUCCCGUUCUGCCCCUUUAUAUAAAUAAAGAAAAGUAUGAAAGAUUCA
ensembl:lncRNA CCDST cervical cancer associated DHX9 suppressive transcript